AGUGAACGCUGGCGGUAGGCCUAACACAUGCAAGUCGAACGGCAGCACAGUAAGAGCUUGCUCUUACGGGUGGCGAGUGGCGGACGGGUGAGGAAUACAUCGGAAUCUACUUUUUCGUGGGGGAUAACGUAGGGAAACUUACGCUAAUACCGCAUACGACCUACGGGUGAAAGCAGGGGAUCUUCGGACCUUGCGCGAUUGAAUGAGCCGAUGUCGGAUUAGCUAGUUGGCGGGGUAAAGGCCCACCAAGGCGACGAUCCGUAGCUGGUCUGAGAGGAUGAUCAGCCACACUGGAACUGAGACACGGUCCAGACUCCUACGGGAGGCAGCAGUGGGGAAUAUUGGAAAAUGGGCGCAAGCCUGAUCCAGCCAUACCGCGUGGGUGAAGAAGGCCUUCGGGUUGGAAAGCCCUUUUGUUGGGAAAGAAAAGCAGCAGGUUAAUACCCCGCUGUUCUGACGGUACCCAAAGAAUAAGCACCGGCUAACUUCG
rnacentral:rRNA from 1 species